GGAUUGAACGCUGGCGGCAUGCCUAACACAUGCAAGUCGAACGGGAGUAGCAAUACUCUAGUGGCGGACGGGUGAGGAAUACGUAGGAAUUUGCCCUUAAGUGGGGGAUAACCCGGGGAAACCCGGAUUAAUACCGCAUGACCUCGAAAGAGCAAAGUGGGGGAUCGCAAGACCUCACGCUUUUGGAGAAGCCUACGUCGGAUUAGCUAGUUGGUGAGGUAAUGGCUCACCAAGGCGACGAUCCGUAACUGGUCUGAGAGGAUGAUCAGUCACACCGGAACUGAGACACGGUCCGGACUCCUACGGGAGGCAGCAGUGGGGAAUAUUGGACAAUGGGCGCAAGGCCUGAUCCAGCAAUGCCGCGUGUGUGAAGAAGGCCUUGGGUUGUAAAGCACGUUAAGUUAGGAAGAAAAAUACGCUACUAACAACACGUGAGUACUUAGUACGGACCGUAACAGAAUAACGCAACCGCUAACUCUCG
rnacentral:rRNA from 1 species